rnacentral:rRNA from 1 species
UACGUAGGGUGCGAGCGUUGUCCGGAAUUAUUGGGCGUAAAGGGCUCGUAGGCGGUUUGUCGCGUCGGGAGUGAAAACCUCGGGCUUAACUCGGGGCUUGCUUUCGAUACGGGCAGACUGGAGGUAUGCAGGGGAGAACGGAAUUCCUGGUGUAGCGGUGAAAUGCGCAGAUAUCAGGAGGAACACCGGUGGCGAAGGCGGUUCUCUGGGCCGUAACUGACGCUGAGGAGCGAAAGCGUGGGGAGCGAACAGG